AUGGCGGCCGGAGGCCCGGAGGUGGCUCGGCCGGCGACUGUUUGCAAGCGGAUUGCGUGGUGGCUCCUUGUCGGGAUGGUGGUCUGGGGUAGCGUGGUCUGGGCAGUGCCUUCGGGAUGCUCUGGGCUUGCGCUGCCGGCGGUGCUCUGGCUAGUUUUGUGCGGUGCAGCAAGUAGCAUCUGCUGCUCCGGUCUGGUGGUGGUGUGUUGGAGACGUCGUCCCAGCAUAGGUGCCCGGUUCCCUGACGAAAGUCAUGCUCGACUACGGUUUGUGCUGAUGGCGAAUGAUGCCUUUGGGUGUGAUUUUCCUUGUUGGAGGCGCCAUCGAGGGGAUCCGACACCUCUCCUUGCUCUAUGUUCUUGUCUCCCGGUGAAAACCGUGUGUAAUGGUGGCGCCAGUGGUGUCAUUACUUUGUUGGAAGCAUUGCCUUGGAUUCAAAUUCUGGUGUGA
rnacentral:rRNA from 1 species